GCAGCGGUAGUUCAGUUGGUUAGAAUACCGGCCUGUCACGCCGGGGGUCGCGGGUUCGAGCCCCGUCCGCUGCG
rfam:Acinetobacter johnsonii SH046 genomic scaffold supercont1.1, whole genome shotgun sequence.